rnacentral:misc_RNA from 1 species
UGACAUUUCUUCAACUUCCCAAGAGACCUACACCUGCGAGGUACACUCAUAUACAAGGCUAUGCAUAUUUCAAGUCAAGUAGCAGCUCUUUUGUCACACUUGUUCUGCACUAAGCCCAGCAGGAAAUCAGUAAAAAUGUGCUCAUAGUCUGGCAUUUUCCCGUAACCAGGAAAGUAGUUGAUGUCAAUCACAUAGAAGACAUCUUUAGUCCUGUGCUGACGAAUCAUAUCUAUGUUGAACAAUUGGAGGCCCAGUCGACAACGAAGCUCCCUUGCAAGCCUCUCCAACAAAGGGCGUGGAGGAAGUUCACCAACAGAAGGGUCCAAAUCUGCAUCAUCUGCAGAAGCUGCGGCAGAUGAAACUCUUGGAAAACGGAACACACCCGCAACUUUUGCUAGCUCAUGCUUACUGACAUUAGGUAGAGAGAAACGCCGAACAACCUUUAUGGCUU